UGACGUGUCCGCGCUGGACGUGCUGACGCUCGUCGGAGGAGCGGUGUGCGCAGGCGCGGCGCUGACAGCCGCACUCCACCUGAUCCGCAGACUGUGUUUAAUAAUGGCCUGGAAAUCCGGAGGAGCGAGCCACGCGGAGCUCGUCAACAACCUCCGCAAAAAUGGUAUCAUUAAAUCGGACCGCGUAUAUGAAGUUAUGUUGGCCACAGACCGUGCCCACUUCUCCAAAUGUAAUCCAUACAUGGACUCGCCACAAUCUAUAGGUUACCAAGCAACGAUCAGUGCACCACAUAUGCACGCGUAUGCUCUAGAGCUCCUCCAUGAUCAUCUGUAUGAAGGAGCGAAGGCUCUGGAUGUGGGAUCAGGCUCCGGAAUCCUGUCCGUCUGCUUCGCCAGAAUGGUUGGGCCGAAGGGGAAGGUGAUUGGCAUUGAUCAUAUAAAGGAGCUUGUGGAUGAUUCCAUAACUAAUGUAAAGAAAGAUGACCCUAGUUUGAUCUCUUCAGGGAGAGUCAAACUCAUUGUUGGAGAUGGAAGAAUGGGCUUUACAGAAGAAGCACCUUAUGAUGCCAUACAUGUCGGAGCCGCAGCUCCCACAGUGCCACAAGCAUUGUUGGAUCAGCUGAAGCCAGGUGGGCGUCUGAUUCUGCCGGUCGGGCCAGCAGGAGGGAACCAGAUGCUGGAGCAGUAUGACAAAUUGGAGGAUGGCAGUACCAAAAUGAAGCCACUGAUGGGCGUGAUUUACGUGCCUUUAACAGACAAAGACAAGCAGUAGUCAAGGUGGAAGUGACUUCCUGUCCUCUGUCCCCUCUCUCUUCUAGGGCACAGGGAUGAACUUUAAAAGGAUGCUCUGGCAAUACUCAUCGCACCAUAUGCACACACACACACACACACACACACAUCCGAAUGGACUUCACUGAGGAGAGCUUGUAUAAAUGCUCUUUCCAUACCUGUGACAGUCUGAUGGUUGUGAAAGACGGAUGUAUUGAUGAGAUUCUUUUAUUUAAAAAGGAAAAAAGUGGAAUAGGGCUUUGUGCUGAGAUUUUCAUGCCUGCAGUUUGAGAAUUGUGUGAAUGUAGUUUUUUUUGGGGGGCGGGGGGAGAGACUUGAUGUGCAGGUGCAUUUUUCUUGUGAUGACUUCAGUAUUACAGUCAAUUGGAUCAUUCAUGCCUUUCAGCAUAAUGUAAACAGAACAUAGGGGUCGGCCUUUGUGCUGAAUCCACCCCUUGAUUAAAUCAUAAUUCACUGCUACAUAAUGUGUAGGGAUGUCUUUGCUCUACAAAUCCGUGUUAAUAGUAAUGGCUUGUGUUUUCAGCUGAAGCAUGUGAUGCCCAGGCAGAAUAAACUACUUUACAUUUGAUAAUUCCAUCGUAGGAUUCUAAAGUAAGUCACAAGAGGCCAUGUGUUACAAUGAUUUUACCACGGUUGUGGGAUGUUCUUUGGUUUGAUGCAGAGCAAACCUCUUUAACUGUCAUAAAAUCAGUAUAACACAGUUUCAAAUGGCUCAGUGUACACUCAGCUGGUCAUUAUAGAAAAAUGAACUCCCAACACUAAGCAGAACUGUUAUUGCUGGAUGCUUACCAACCAAAUAAAUGGACAUGAAUUAUUGAAAAGUUGAAAGUAUUUUAAUAUGUGAGAAGAAAGGGCAGAAUGAUUUAAGAAUUUUUUUUUAUAUGGGACAAAGGUGAUUUUGUUUUUUUCUCUUUAGCGUCAUUACAAAAAUAUGUACAAACCACAGAAUGCUGCCGUUAACCAAUCAAAAUCAGGUAUUCCAGAGAACAGAGUCUAAUCCUUGUUUUUUUAGAGUGACUGCAAUAUGAUAAAAGACUCCAAAAUUCAAUAAAUAACUUGUUUUAUUAAUAAUGUAAUAAUUACAAAAAAAUACUCCUGGCAAGUAAAACAAUCCAUUAGCUAUAACUUUAGGCUGCUUACAGUUGCCAAGCAAAGCAGCGACAUUAAAAUAGACUGAUGGCCACAGGUGUGUGUUCAGAGGUGUUUUGCAACGGGUAUCCAAUCAGACUCUACAGUUUGAACUACUGUUUACAUGUUGUAAAAAUUGACAUUUUAGAAAUCAACUCCAGAAUACUAAAAUAGAUUUGUCAUGAUUUACUCACGUUGUUUCAACCCCAUAUUAUUUUCUUUGUUUUGUGAAACACAACAGAUGCUUCUCCACCUGAUAAAAUUGGAUGUUUUAUAUUGUCAAGCUGUUUCAACAAAGUUUGUGUUAAAUUCAAAAUCGUUGCUUUUAGAUUUGACGUUGUGGACCCAAACAACACUGGUUCUCCUGUUCUUGGCGAGUAUGAAAAACGUGAGAUUUGAGAACUACUGUGGAAGGGUACUUUUGUGUUCUUUGCACUUGACGACAAAAAUCAUCAUCCACUUUAUAUGCAAAACGAAUCUUGGAACAUUUUGCUUAUUUCACAGAAGAAAGAAAAUCAUACAGGUUUGGAAUAAUAUGAGCAGAAUUGGGUCACAUGUUUAGAGCACAAGUCCACAAUAGUACUGCUCACUGAAAUGUGUUUCAGGUCACUGCAAAGCUCAAAAUAAGCUUGUCUAUAUUAUCUUAUGUGCAGCAAGUCCCACUCAGAUCCACACUUGCAUACACAGCGUUGAGCUAAACCUUUAAUGGUCAUUUUGAUUGUAAGCGGUUUUCAAUGCCAAUUCUCUGUGCAUGUUUGUGUGUUUACUGCGCGCACAAACGUGGCUUUUGUCAAAUAAACUCACUGCUAAGCAAUGA